rnacentral:lncRNA from 1 species
UUAUAAUAUAUAUCAUACUUAAUAAAUACAUAUGCCAUUUUAAUUAACUUAUAGUAUAAUGUUCAAUAAAACAAUCUUUUAUUCAAGAAUGCUUUUUAAUUUUUUAAUGAUUUGAAUGUAUAUAGUAGGGUGGCCAAUUUGUCUAUUGUUGCAGUUGACUUUUGUAUUCAAAACACAAAUAAGCCCAAUAAGCAAGCAGAGUUUUAUUCGUGUAAAACGUUUUCGGACUGUCAUGCAGUCCCUCAUCGGUGCACAGCUGGGCUUGUCUUACAGUAUACGAGGUGUGGAGCGGAGCUUUUCAAACAGUUUUAGACGUCUAAAACUGUUUGAAAUGUUCUGUUCUAUAUACUUCGUAUACUGUAAGAUACGAAGUAUAUAGAACAGAACAUUU